rnacentral:tRNA from 1 species
UGCGGUUGUAGUCUAGUCUGGUUAGGACUCGGGCCUUCCAAGCCCGCGACCCGGGUUCAAAUCCCGGCAACCGCAU